GCUGGAAUAAACAAUGGAAAUACUCGAUCUGUACGUAGCUGAUGCUUGAGUGAUAACAAGAUGUGUGUCCAUGAGCUGUGCUUGAUAUCCUGGCUCAACUUAGUUAACUCUCCCUGCCCACUCAUCUAUAGCCUACAAUGCCCAAUCAAGGUGCCUGGUGGGCCUGGGACAGCCAAACACUUAGAUGGUACAGGUUGCACUUGGUGGGGGCCAGCUACAGCCAAAGGCUGAGACGAUCCAGGUUUCAGAAAUGGAAUUUAAUGAGGCCAUUGCCAAGAAUACAGUUACAACUUACAAGUGAAAGUGUAAUGCUGAAAGAAACCAAGACAGAGGAACAUUCAAACUGUACAUUCCACUAGACCAAAUAAAUGUAGUGGCUCUUGUGCACAUGGCUGGUCUAUACAAAGCCACCCUAUUCCAACUUAGUUUAAUGGAGUCAAUGCUGAAAACAUAGAGUUAAAA